rnacentral:misc_RNA from 1 species
CCAAACUUGGUCAUUUAGAGGAAGUAAAAGUCGUAACAAGGUUUCCGUAGGUGAACCUGCGGAAGGAUCAUUAGUGAAAUUUGGGUGUCUCUUACACAGAGAGCCCGCCUUCCACUUUUAACCCUGCGCACUUGACGCUCUCGUCUCGUGCGCUUGUCAGUCGGUCUCGGCUUUUUACGAAGCCGGGCUGGCGAAAAACCAUUUUUAACGCAAGUUGAUGAAUGUAAAUCAAAACCCUAGAACAAACAAAACUUUCAACAACGGAUCUCUUGGCUCUCACAUCGAUGAAGAACGCAGC